AAGCAGACGAGAGGCCAA
rnacentral:misc_RNA from 1 species